rnacentral:lncRNA from 7 species
UUCAAGAUUUAGAUUUAAAUUUAAAUUUUAAAACUGAAAUUUAAUUUGAAACUCUAAAAGAAAUGAAAUAGGAAAAUUCUCCAUUAUUUAAUUAAUGGGACUAUUCUUUUAUGAAUUAGGUGCUUAGAAGAAAAUUAAUUCCUAAGUAAAAGUACCUCUUAAUGGAGAUGAUACAUUAGAAAGUAUUUCUCCUAGAACAAAUAUUUUUUUGAAUGAACUUUUAAAUUGACUACCCAUUCAAAUCAAUAUUUUCUUAAAAAGCAAUAUGUGUGUGCAUUAAAUGUUUGAAGCAUUUAUCAAAACGAAUAAAAUAACUAAUAUGUAUGUGCAAAUAAAUAUAUGACUUGAAUCUCAUUCUGUAAUUUCUACUUGUGCAUUCAAUUCAAAACUCAGAAUUGAA